GAACUCCUUACCCCAGCUGCCUGGCUGCCCUCAGCUUCCCAAAGCUCAAAUAAGAGGGGCCGGCGGCGCGGGGAAGAGGAGGAGCCAGGAGGCUCGGCCGCUCCAUUCACUCAGCAGCCCAAGCCCGGCCAGGCAGCGCGCGCUGCUCCUUGGGGGCGCCCUCGCAGCUGGGGUGAGGGCGGGUCCGAGGGAGCGUCCCUCUCGGAGACACCCUCCUCUUCAACCCAACACGCGCUCUCAGCUGGCCGGUGUGGCACAACCCUCCCCCCACCUCCCCUUCUUGGCCUUCGCCAGUGUGGGAGCCUCGUCUCACUGGAGAGUCCGUUCAGCUUGCAUUGCAUAAACGUUGUCGCCAUUAAAUUCUGGCUGCGGACCCGAAGUGUGUGCGGGCCCAGGACUUACUCGAAGGGCGCACUUCUUGGGAAUGCGCAUCCCGUAGGCGCAGGAGACCCUGAGGAAUCCUUGUGGGGGCGGGGAGGGGAAGAGCACCGGUGCGAACCCCGGGGUGCCCCCUCGCCCGACUUGGACUUCUCCGACUAAAGAGGUGGGAGGAGUUCCCUGCAGCCUGCGGGGCCAAGAAGAAAGUGCUAAGCUGAGGAGCCGCAGUCGGAGGACCCCAGGGACCCGACAGGAAGUCUCCGUACGACCCCAACGGAUCCACAUGCCCGGAAGCCCAGGCGACACUAAGCCAGCGCUGGGGAACUGACGUACUCCUGCAGUCGCAGGGCGCUCCAUGCCUCUCUGUCCUCUUCUUUGUUGUGGGUAACGUUCUCUGCGGGAGACCUGAGGUUUUCCAAGGGGGACAUGCCAGCUACACUGGCCUUGGCGCCCUGAGCUAAGCACCAGGACUCACAGCCUAGCACGAAGGCAGGUAGCACCUUCACCCGCCGCGGACGAUAGGCGCUCUCCUGUACCUCCUUUAGCUCGCGAGGCCCGCCCUUCGCGAGGUCCCAGAGAAAAGCAGGCUGUGGAAAACUGGGCGCCCCCUUCUUUCACCCACCUUCUUACCCCUGUCAGCGCCGAGAUCUGUAGCAGAGGUUCCUGGUCUGAACCACCGAUUGGCAAAGAAAGCUGCAGAUUAAACUUCUCGUUUUACAGAGAAGGAAACUGAGGCCCAGACAGCCGAAGGAGAGGCAGUCUAUGGAGCGCAGCGGUAAAGAGCAAGGGGUUGGUGGCCCCAGAAUGGAACCUCAGCUCUGCCAGGUAACCAACAGCUGUGUGACCCUAGACGAGUUCCGCAGUCUCUCUGAGCCUCAGUUUCCUUACUGGUCAAACGGGAUAAUGGGAUACUAGCGCCCACCUCAUAGAGUUGUUCUGAGGAUUAGAUAGGAGAGCAGUGUGGGCCUUUGACUCAAUCAACUUUACAGUUUUUGUUACUACUACUGUUUAAGGACAGGAAACAAGUUAGUGGCAACGCCGAGCUGAAACCCGGGUCUCUCAACGUCCAGUUGGAGGUUUUACCCACCACCCCUCUACCUCUUCAGAGCUAAUGGGAUGCAGAGGCGAGGACAGCCCCUGGAAAACCAUGUGGCGUUGAUACACUGGCAAAGCGCAGGCAUCCCGGCCUCGAAGGUGCAUAAUUAUUGCAAUAUGAAAAAAUCGAGGCUGGGUAGGAGCAGGGCAGUGAGGAUUUCUCAACCCUUACUUUCACCCCGGCGCUGUCCACUGCAUCUGACAGAGCGCGGAGCUGGGCUGCUACAGCCGCAACCCCAGGGACCAGUGCGCACGCCUGGGCCGCCCUCCGGGAGUCACCCAGCGGCCGCGGACAACUGAAUAAACACCCCAAAGCGCUGCGGUCGGUCAAGGGCGGGGACAGCCACACUGCGCGCGGGGCCCGCAGGCCGUAAUAAAGAGUGGCUCGACCUCGCUGCUGCCUGUCGCGGGAGAGGAACAAGCUUUCGACUAGCGCCUCUCCCCGGGGCCCGCGCCCCGAGCCCCACGCGCAAGACAGCCCAACAGCUGUUCCUCCCCUCCCCGCCGACUCCAACUCUUCGGAAUCUGCCCACUCGGGGCUGCAGGGCAAGUGUUUAGGAUGGUUCCCAGCCCCGCGCUGGCGGUGAAAAUUUCAAC
rnacentral:lncRNA from 1 species